UACGGAGGGUGCAAGCGUUGUCCGGAAUCACUGGGCGUAAAGGGCGCGUAGGCGGCUCAUGAAGGCUGUGGUGAAAGUCCGGGGCUCAACCUCGGAUCGGCCGUGGCGACUCGUGGGCUGGAGCACUGUAGAGGCAGGUGGAAUUCCUGGUGUAGCGGUGGAAUGCGCAGAUAUCAGGAGGAACACCGGUGGCGAAGGCGGGUCUCUGGGCCAUUACUGACGCUGAGGAGCGAAAGCGUGGGGAGCGAACAGG
rnacentral:rRNA from 1 species